UACGGAGGGAGCUAGCGUUGUUCGGAAUUACUGGGCGUAAAGCGCGCGUAGGCGGCUUUGUAAGUUAGAGGUGAAAGCCCGGGGCUCAACCCCGGAAUUGCCUUUAAGACUGCAUCGCUUGAAUCCGGGAGAGGUGAGUGGAAUUCCGAGUGUAGAGGUGAAAUUCGUAGAUAUUCGGAAGAACACCAGUGGCGAAGGCGGCUCACUGGACCGGCAUUGACGCUGAGGUGCGAAAGCGUGGGG
rnacentral:rRNA from 1 species